UCCAAGGGUCUGCCCUUCUCUCGUGGGCCAGGCAGGAAGGGGAUGGCUAAGCCCAGGACAGAGUGACUCCUAGUGUUAGCAUUCUGUCUAAGCUCCACCCCCAUAGCUACGUGGCAGCAGCCAGAUAUGCUCCACCCCACAGUUGCCUGGCAACAGCCAACUGUGCCUGACACUAUAAAAGGGGCUGCUUGCCCCCUCCUCAUUCUCUUUGUUCUUCUCUGCUUUUGCCCUCUUCCCUGUCCCUUCUCUCCCCAUACCCCUUUCCCCCCACGUGCCCUUGGCCUCCUUUACUUCUCCCCGCCUGCUAUUCUUCUCGUUAAACCUCUCCACGUGGAACCAUGUUGGUUUGGUGCGUUCUGUCUGGACUCGAGCCAAGAUUUAAACCCCAACACCUAGUCCCAUACUCUAUCUUAGGGACCAGGAGACUCAAACUGACCCAAAGGAAAAAGGAGAAAACGAUACAGCUACCUGGGCCUCUUGUGUGUAUGGACCAGAUUCACUUUUCUCUAGAAAAUCACUCCAAUGUCAAGCAUAAUAGGAGGGCUAGAGAGAUGACUCAGUGGUUUAAAAUGCAUGCUGCUCUCACAGAGGACCCAAGUUCAGCCCCCAGCACCCACAUCAGGUAGAUUACAGUAGUCUGUCACUCCAGCUCCUGGGGAUCCAAACACCUCUGACCUCCAAGGAGUUCUGGACUCACGUGCACAGACAGAAACAUGCAUAUAAUUAAAAAUAAUAGAAACAACUCUUAAAAUAAUAUUAAUAAUAAAAUUAAAGGUUUAAAAAAAUCUCACGGGAAAUAGCUAAGUUUCACUCGCAAUGUGACAGAUUCAAGACCAGCUAUGAAGCCCAGGGAGGAGCUCGCAAGGGCAUCUCGGGUGUACGUCAGACAAGACUGCCAGAGCACAGUUGUCUGAACAAGAUGGUGCUCUCCAGGGGUCAAAAACCUCCUCCUUUGAAAGAACACGAAGCCGUCAGCAAACCGUGAGGACAGGGUGCUGAAGAGGAAGGUGCUUCAAUGGAAACAGGCCCUGCGUUUGCAGGAAGCAGUCUGUUACCAAGACAAGUGGAAGACGGAAAAAUUUCCAACUAUAAAUAACCCCGCACUGGUGAUUUCUCCAGAGAUAAAGCUAAAAAGCACCCUGGGGUCCAUGAGCAGAAGGCGCUGUUUCCUGAACUGGGUUUAGCAAGCAUUUGCUGAGGACAGGACACCAGAAGCACGGCCCCUCACAGAUAAAACAGGUCAACAGUACAGCAUGCGUCCUGCUGUCAGCUCCGGCAUUGCCUACCUGGAGUUGUGUCUCUGUUUGAAUUUUAAACCAGAUCUGCACUCUUCAAGGUGACUCUUGACUCCCACAGCAACUAUUUACGAAAGAACUGGGACCGGGUCUGUUGGCGCCCAAGCUCAAACCCAAGACUUCAAACCCCAGUAUCUACAGACUGGCCAUUCCUGAGGGUAAGAAAAGCCUUCUCUAUGAUUGAAGAAAGCUCUCUGGUGUAUCUAGCACAUUUGCGCAUCAUUCAUCUUCCAUGAGACAUCCAAGGCUGAACCUCAUUCUGCUCUAAGCCCAAACAUUUGGGUAAAUUUGCACCGCAUUGUUUUAGGUUUCUAGGUUUGGCUUUGUAAGGAAGCUACACACAGACUUCCACAGCAGCUGCACUAAUUCACAUCACCACCAGUAUUUACGGCUCCUUUUUCCAGUCAGCCUCAUCGGCAUCUGUUGAACUUGGGUUGACCAUGAGGAGUGAGCUCAGAACUCUGAUGAAGAGUGUCGAGAGAGCAUCACCCUGUGAGGAUGGGGAGAGAGACGAGAAGAGAGACUAUGGUCAAACCAUAGGACUAGUCAGAGCUUCAGAAGUGGGAGGAAGAGAAGGUCAUGAGGACGCAAAAGCCAUGAUGUGAGUCUGCCUUUCCUGUCUUCCAGUGUAGCCUCCCUCACUGAGUUCAAGUCUCCAGCGCCCAUGUAAAUAUCAGGGCAUGAGUGUCGGGGAGCUAGCUCAGGACUUCUGACCUCAUUCUGACUUUGCACAGCACCCGAGUUCAAUCCCCCACACCCAGGUUGGGUGGUUCCCAGCCAAGCUGGGUCAUUGAAGUCUAACUCUAGGAAAUCCAACACACUUCCGGAAAUGCACGCACAUACCCGCACACAAAUGUGCGUAUGCAUACAAAUAAAAAUGAAAUAAAUCUUGGAAAUGGG